rnacentral:lncRNA from 1 species
UACACUUAUAGUUUACUCUGGUUUUAGAUCUAACCUCUGAAGUCGAAGUGUGAAGAUGGCAAGGUUGUCUGCUUUGGGGAAGACAGCGACGAUGAAGACGGUGGCUUCCGGUAAGGACGACGGCGACAGUGCGAGGUGGCUGAUGAAGGUUAAUCUGGGAGAAAGACGGAGGCGGCAAUAAAUAAGAAAAGAUAAAGAUGAGGGUAAUAAGGGAAUUCUUUCUAUCUUAAUGGGUGUUAUAUUUUUGGAAAAAGUUUAUUUUAGUCAAAAAGAGAAAUUCUGAACAGAUAGCCUGGAUAUUUGAUUUUACACUAUAACAAGUCAUUGUUAAAAUAAAAAAAUAAAAAAUAAAAAAAUGAUUUUUUUUUAAUUUGAGCCAAAAUAAAAUAACUGAGACUUNAGACGGUGGCUUCCGGUAAGGACGACGGCGACAGUGCGAGGUGGCUGAUGAAGGUUAAUCUGGGAGAAAGACGGAGGCGGCAAUAAAUAAGAAAAGAUAAAGAUGAGGGUAAUAAGGGAAUUCUUUCUAUCUUAAUGGGUGUUAUAUUUUUGGAAAAAG